rnacentral:rRNA from 1 species
UACAGAGACCUCAAGCGUUAUCCGGAAUCAUUGGGCGUAAAGCGUACCGAUAGGUGGUUUAGAAAGUCAGAAGUGAAAUCUUAAAGCUCAACUUUGAGACUGUCUUUUGAAACUUCUAAAACUAGAGGGGCAAAGAGGAAGCUGGAACGAACGGUGUAGUAGUGAAAAUGCGUUUGAUAUCGUUCGGAACACCAAUAGCGUAGGCAGGCUUCUGGGUGCCACCUGACAACUGCUAGGACGAAAGCGUGGGUACGAAUGGG